rnacentral:rRNA from 1 species
GACGAACGCUGGCGGCGUGCUUAACACAUGCAAGUCGAACGGGACGUCCCUGCUUUUGUGGGCUGCUCUAGUUGCGAACUGGUGAGUAACCCUUAAGUUCCCUGCCCUUUCCUGUAGGAUAACUUCAUGCCACUUGGUCUCAUCCCGGAUAGGAGCUCCUGCUUCUUGGUGGGGGUUGGAAAGUUUCGCCGGUUGGUGGUGGACUCGCGUCUUAUCAGAUUGUUGGGUGGGUAGUGUCUUACCAAGGCUUUGACUGGUAGCCGGCCUGAGAGGGUGACCGGAAAAAUUGGGACGGAGAUAAGGCACAGACUCGUAUGGGAGGCAGCAGUGGGGAAUAGUGCACAAUGGGCGGAAGCCUGAUGCAGCAAAGCCGCGUGCGGGAUGAGGGCCUUCGGGUUGUAAACCGCUGUCGCCUGUGACGAAGCGUGAGUGACGGUAAUGGGUAAAGAAGCACCGGCUAACUACGUG